GAUGAACGCUGGCGGCGUGCCUAAUACAUGCAAGUCGAGCGAACGGACGAGAAGCUUGCUUCUCUGAUGUUAGCGGCGGACGGGUGAGUAACACGUGGAUAACCUACCUAUAAGACUGGGAUAACUUCGGGAAACCGGAGCUAAUACCGGAUAAUAUUUUGAACCGCAUGGUUCAAAAGUGAAAGACGGUCUUGCUGUCACUUAUAGAUGGAUCUGCGCUGCAUUAGCUAGUUGGUAAGGUAACGGCUUACCAAGGCAACGAUGCAUAGCCGACCUGAGAGGGUGAUCGGCCACACUGGAACUGAGACACGGUCCAGACUCCUACGGGAGGCAGCAGUAGGGAAUCUUCCGCAAUGGGCGAAAGCCUGACGGAGCAACGCCGCGUGAGUGAUGAAGGCCUUCGGAUCGUAAAACUCUUUUAUUAGGAAAGAAAAUAUGUGUAAGAAACUGUGCACAUCUUGACGGUACCUAAUCAGAAAGCCCCGGCUAACUACGUG
rnacentral:rRNA from 1 species